GGCGGCGUGGUGUACUGCUAACACAUCAGUCCGGUCUACUGAAGAUGCUGGUUCGAUCCCAGCCGCCGAUU
rnacentral:tRNA from 1 species